GUACUUCUGAAGGAUCCAAAAAUAGGACGAAACAGCUGUCCAGUAC
rnacentral:hammerhead_ribozyme from 1 species